AAGAAAAUAACUCUUUAUUAACUUUAGAAAUAACUCAAACUAAAGCUUCUCUCAAUCUAACUCUCAAUUCUCUUAAGGUUUACCACAAGCUUUGGCAACUCUUAUAUAGAGAUACAAAAGAUCUAAUCUCAAACAAACUAUAUCUUGUUUUAGAUAACUCCUAAAACAUAUAUCAAUGGAUAACUCCCAAAGAUUUGAUAAUAUCUCUUAUUUUAAACCAAUAACUUAUCGCACAAGUUACUUCUUUUCCAAGCUUAACCCAACAUUCUCCCCUUUAAGCUUGGAAACUUCCAUUUGCACAUCUCGAACUCCAAUAAGAUCUCGCAUCUCCUUAUACUUAGUCUUUCCAAGUGCCUUGGUUAAAAUGUCCGCUCUUUGUUCUUCACUUGAGACAUGUUCAACCACAAUUUGACCAUUCUCCACACACUCCCGUAUAAAGUGAUACUUCCGGUGAAUGUGUUUGCUUCUGCCGUGAAACACUGGAUUUUUGGUGAGUGCAAUCGCCGACUUGUUAUCAACCCGUAUUGUCACCUUCUCGCAUGUUGUCCCUACAACUUCAGCAAAUAACUCUUGGAGCCAAAUGGCUUGUUUAGCUGCUUCCGUAGCAGCCAUGAAUUCAGCCUCACAAGAUGAGAGUGCUACUACUUGUUGUUUUUGAGAACACCAAGUAAUUGGACACUCGUCAAGAUAAAAAACAUGACCUGCGGUACUCCUACCAUUGUCAACAUCCACGCUAUGACUGCUAUCGCUAUAGCCCACUAACCCCGACUUGGAUCCAUGUUUAAAGUAUAGACCAUGUGAGAGAGUUCCUUGAAGGUAUCUUAUCACUUGUUUCAGCACGGCUCCAUGUGACUCCUUUGGAUCUUGUAAAUAACGACUCAAGAUACCAACAACAUAAGAGAGAUCCGGUCGAGUAUGUAGCAAGUAUCUAAGACAUCCGAUGUUCCUUCUAUAAUCCUGUCCAUUCACUUGUUUUUCAUGGUGUGCCUUUGACAAUUCUAGACCUGCAAUUAUGGGUAUGUGAACGGCUUUACACUCACUCAUUCCUGCUUCUUCUAAAAUUUUCUUUGCAUAUCUCUCUUGUUUCAAAACAAAUCCAUCUUCUUCUUGAGAUACCUCAAUCCCAAGAUAAUAAGUGAGUCUUCCUAAGUCACUCAUUUCAAACCUUCCCGCCAUUCCUUUCUUAAACUCAAUGAUCAUCCCCAAGUUAGAUCCUGUGACAAGCAAAUCGUCAACAUAUACCGCCACCACCAAGAUAUUCUCACCUUCUUGUUUUCUGUAUAAGGACGGUUCCUUGGAGCACUUUUGAAAUUUUAAUUCCUUAAGAAUCUCAUUUAACUUAGUGUUCCAAGCCCUCGGUGCUUGUCGCAGUCCAUAGAGAGCCUUAUGUAGCUUGUAGACCUUCCCUUUACUCUCUUUGGUUACAAAACCUUCAGGCUGAGUGACAUACACAUCCUCUUUCAAGUCUCCAUGUAGGAAUGCAGUCUUGACAUCUAGAUGGUGCACUUCCCAAGAGUUUGAAGCAGCUAGAGCAAUGAUAAGCCGGACUGUUUCAAUGCGGGCUACAGGAGCGAACACUUCAUCAAAAUCGAUACCAUGUUUCUGUACGUAACCCUUGGCUACGAGUCUCGCCUUAUGCUUGUUUAUGGUGCCAUCGGAAUUUCUCUUUAACUUGAAGACCCAUUUUAAUCCAAUUGGUUUAACAUUCAAGGGAAGAUCAACUAGACUCCAAGUCUUAUUUUUGUUUAUAGAGAAAAUCUCUUCUUCACAUGCGUUUCUCCAUUCCUUUGACUUAGAAGCUUCGUUAAAAUCCCAUGGUUCCUCGUUAACCAUCAUCAAAAGUUGCUCUCCUUCUAUCUCUGCCAAUAACACAUAAUCAUUAAGGUAAGUUGGCUUUGUGAUUUGUCUUCCGGAUCGUCUUAGCAAAGGCAUUGGUUGAUUUGUGAGUUCUUGCUCUGUUUCUUGUUCCGUUUCGUCGAGCACAGCAUCAUCUCCUUCACUGUCACCGUUAUCCUCACUUUCUUCUCUGUUUUCCUCUGUUCCUGCGGCAGUCUCAAAGUCUCUAACUCCAUGAUUCCCGAAUUCUCCUAGGCUGAGAGUGAACAUCCACGAGUCACCGUGAUUUUCUGAGUUUAACAUGUUCCACUUCCAAUGUUUGUUUUCAUCAAACACUACAUCACGACUCACUGUAACUCUGCGGCUUGUUGGAUCAAAAAGUCUGUAUGCCUUUGAGCCAGGCUCUGUCCCGAGAUAAACUAACAUCUUUGACCUAUCAUCUAGCUUGCGGAGAUGCGGAGCUUCAAUCUUGGCAUAGCAGACACACCCGAAAAUUCUCAAAUGCUCAACAUUAGGUUUUUUCCCCUUAAGCGCUUCAUAUGGAGUUUUGUCAGCUAAGGUCCUUGUACCAACUCUGUUAAUGAGAUAUGUAGAGUGUCUUACUGCCUCACCCCAGAGAUAAUUCGGCAUUCUCAUGUGUUUUAAUAUGCUUCUAGUCAUCUCUAGUAGUGUCCGGUUUCGUCGUUCUACCACUCCGUUCUGUUGCGGUGUGUAAGGCGCUGUCAAGUGUCUGUUAAUUCCUUCUUUUUCACAAAAACUCUGAAACUCUUGGGAUACGAACUCGCCUCCUCUAUCAGUUCUGAAUGUCUUGAUUUUUCUUCCGAUUUCUUGUUCUAUCAUUGCCUUAAAUCCUUUGAAUUUUUCGAAAGCCUCACUUUUUUCUGUCAACAAGAUAGUCCACAUAUAGCGAGUGUGGUCAUCGAUUAGUACAAAGACAUACCUCUUCUUUGCUGCUGUAGCCGGAGAGAUUGGACCGCAUAAAUCCCCAUGAACCAGUUCUAGUGGCUGCGACGCACGAUACGCAGUAGCUUUUGGAAAACUUUGCCUUGUUUGUUUACCAAAUAAGCAAGAGGCACAAGUUUCUUUCUCUUUCGGAGCACCAGUUAUCCCUACAACCAAUUCCUUUGCUACCAUCGUCUUUAUGGUUUCGAAAUUAACAUGUCCUAGGCGAGCAUGCCACUUUGCAGAAUCGCUUGUUACUUCAAGCUGCAGACACUUUGUGUGAUCAACUUCUAAAUCGACUUUGUAUAGUCGAUUUCUUGACCUUGUUGCCUUCACCAAUAGAUUUCCAUCACUAUCAUGUAGCGUCAAAAAAUCUUCUUUCAUUCUUACUUCACACCCUGCUUCUGUAGCUUGACCUAAGCUAAUGAUGUUGCUCCUAAGCUCCGGUAUGUAAUAGACAUCAGCUAGCACCCGUCUUUCUCCUUUUUUGCUAACAAACAAAAUCGAGCCCUUCCCCUUAAUGUCAAUCCUCGAGUCAUCACCAAACCUUACUUUUCCUGUGACUGACUCAUUUAAUUUGCAAAACCAUGUUCUGUUUCCUGUCAUAUGAUUACUGGCGCCAUUGUCUAAAAACCAAGCAUUGUUUGAGCACACUUCAAGUUCUUUAGGUCUCACAUUUUUUUCAUUAAGGAAAACCACUUCAUGCAUCAUAAGAGACUCAGCCUCUUGUGUAUCAUCUUCUUCCUCCUUUUCUUCCUGUUGAAUGAGUUUGAGUAGCCGUUCUGGACAAUUGGAAGCAUAGUGCCCAACUUUAUCACAGCGAUAACAAGUUACUUUUGCUUUGUCUCUCUGUUGGUAACCCUCUCUCUGUUGGUAGCCAAAGCGUCCUCGUCCCCUUCCAAAACGACCACGACCUCUUCCUCUACUUCCUUCUUGCGAUCCAAAAUGAGGCUGUGAGUCCAUGUUAGCAUACAUUAGCUUGCCUUGAUUCUCCUGCGAGUCCUCUUCAGCAUCAAUCCGUUCUUCAUAGGUUUUAAGUCUUCCCACGAUGUCUUCAAAGGUAGUUUUCUUAAGAUCCAGAACUUGUUCAAGAGCAGCAAUGAUGUGUAUGUAUUUCUUUCGUGGCAAGCUUUUAAGAAAUUUCUUUACGAUCUUAGUUUCUUCAAUGUUUUCUCCCAGUGAAGCCGAUUUUGUUGCUAUUUCUGACAGUUUGCCAACAAAGUCAUCAAUCGUGUCAUUCUCCUUCAUCUUUAACCUAUCAAAUUCAGCCAUAAGAGUCUGUAGUCUUGCUUCUUUGACCCGUUCAGCACCAAGGUUUCGAGAUUUGAUGGCUUCCCAAAUAGCUUUUGAGGUCUCAUGCUCUCCUACUUGCAAGAUCAACACUUCGGGUAUGGACUGGAACAAAAGAGCUCGGGCUAUGUCGUUCUUCUCAACAUCACCAGAUCCAGGAUCUAUUGUGUCCCAAACUUUGUGUACACGCAACGCCACCUUCAUCCUCAUAGCCCACACAGUGUAGUUUGAGGAAGUUAACAUCGGACAUUGAAUGACCGACAUCCCUACCUCUUUAGGUUUGUUUGCUACAACGAUUUCACUCAUGAUCGAAUAUCAAAAACCCUUAAGGCUCUGAUACCAAAUCUAGAAUCGAAUACUUAGAUCAAAAGAUAAGAAAAUAACUCUUUAUUAACUUUAGAAAUAACUCAAACUAAAGCUUCUCUCAAUCUAACUCUCAAUUCUCUUAAGGUUUACCACAAGCUUUGGCAACUCUUAUAUAGAGAUACAAAAGAUCUAAUCUCAAACAAACUAUAUCUUGUUUUAGAUAACUCCUAAAACAUAUAUCAAUGGAUAACUCCCAAAGAUUUGAUAAUAUCUCUUAUUUUAAACCAAUAACUUAUCGCACAAGUUACUUCUUUUCCAAGCUUAACCCAAC
rnacentral:lncRNA from 1 species